GGUUCAAAAUUUAAAACAAGUUCAAGUUUUCAUCAAAAAAGCUUGAUGCCUUAUAGAAAUGGAUGGUAUGGGAAAAACAAGAGCACAUCAGAUGCUCUCUUGAUAUGAAGAAUAUCAAAAAUAUUUCACGUUUCUUCGUCAAGAAGCUCUUGCCAGGAAGCAACAUCAAAUCAUCUCGAAGCUAGAGAAGGUUUGAAGUUCUAAUUAUAUGAAGAACGGUUGCGUCCAUUAUCGCCCUUGGCCCAUAGUUUUGAGCUUUGUGAACUUGGCCGAAAUCGAGGUGGGAGCAUUCCUGUUCUUCAACAAUUGGCUAGCUUCCGGAAGGUGUAGAGUUUCUUGAAGAUGUAGAAGAAACUUUUGUUUGAGUUUAUUGAAGAUGUAGAAGAUAAUUUAU